GAUGAACUCUGGCGGCGUGCCUAAUACAUGCAAGUCGAGCGAACAGACGAGGAGCUUGCUCCUUUGACGUUAGCGGCGGACGGGUGAGUAACACGUGGGUAACCUACCUAUAAGACUGGGAUAACUUCGGGAAACCGGAGCUAAUACCGGAUAAUAUUUCGAACCGCAUGGUUCGAUAGUGAAAGAUGGCUUUGCUAUCACUUAUAGAUGGACCUGCGCCGUAUUAGCUAGUUGGUAAGGUAACGGCUUACCAAGGCAACGAUACGUAGCCGACCUGAGAGGGUGAUCGGCCACACUGGAACUGAGACACGGUCCAGACUCCUACGGGAGGCAGCAGUAGGGAAUCUUCCGCAAUGGGCGAAAGCCUGACGGAGCAACGCCGCGUGAGUGAUGAAGGUCUUCGGAUCGUAAAACUCUGUUAUUAGGGAAGAACAAACGUGUAAGUAACUGUGCACGUCUUGACGGUACCUAAUCAGAAAGCCACGGCUAACUACGUGCCAGCAGCCGCGGUAAUACGUAGGUGGCAAGCGUUAUCCGGAAUUAUUGGGCGUAAAGCGCGCGUAGGCGGUUUUUUAAGUCUGAUGUGAAAGCCCACGGCUCACCCGUGGAGGGUCAUUGGAAACUGGAAAACUUGAGUGCAGAAGAGGAAAGUGGAAUUCCAUGUGUAGCGGUGAAAUGCGCAGAGAUAUGGAGGAACACCAGUGGCGAAGGCGACUUUCUGGUCUGUAACUGACGCUGAUGUGCGAAAGCGUGGGGAUCAAACAGGAUUAGAUACCCUGGUAGUCCACGCCGUAAACGAUGAGUGCUAAGUGUUAGGGGGUUUCCGCCCCUUAGUGCUGCAGCUAACGCAUUAAGCACUCCGCCUGGGGAGCACGACCGCAAGGUUGAAACUCAAAGGAAUUGACGGGGACCCGCACAAGCGGUGGAGCAUGUGGUUUAAUUCGAAGCAACGCGAAGAACCUUACCAAAUCUUGACAUCCUUUGACCCUUCUAGAGAUAGAAGUUUCCCCUUCGGGGGACAAAGUGACAGGUGGUGCAUGGUUGUCGUCAGCUUGUGUCGUGAGAUGUUGGGUUAAGUCCCGCAACGAGCGCAACCCUUAAGCUUAGUUGCCAUCAUUAAGUUGGGCACUCUAAGUUGACUGCCGGUGACAAACCGGAGGAAGGUGGGGAUGACGUCAAAUCAUCAUGCCCCUUAUGAUUUGGGCUACACACGUGCUACAAUGGACAAUACAAAGGGCAGCGAAACCGCGAGGUCAAGCAAAUCCCAUAAGUUGUUCUCAGUUCGGAUUGUAGUCUGCAACUCGACUACAUGAAGCUGGAAUCGCUAGUAAUCGUAGAUCAGCAUGCUACGGUGAAUACGUUCCCGGGUCU
rnacentral:rRNA from 1 species